rnacentral:rRNA from 1 species
AUGCUGUGGCUUAACCAUAGAAUUGCCAUUGAAACUGCAAGUCUUGAGUACAGUUGAGGUGGGCGGAAUGAGUAAUGUAGCGGUGAAAUGCAUAGAUAUUACUCAGAACUCCGAUUGCGUAGGCAGCUUGCUAAACUGUAACUGACGCUGAUGCACGAAAGCGUGGGGAGCGAACAGGAUUAGAUACCCUGGUAGUCCACGCUGUAAACGAUGAGCACUGGUUGUUGGCAAUACACCGUCAGCGACUGAGCGAAAGUAUUAAGUGCUCCACCUGGGGAGUACGUCGGCAACGAUGAAACUCAAAGGAGUUGACGGGGGCCCGCACAAGCGGAGGAACAUGUGGUUUAAUUCGAUGAUACGCGAGGAACCUUACCUGGGCUUAAAUGUAGAGUGCAUUGCUUGGAAACAGGCAUUUUCUUCGGAACUCUUUACAAGGUGCUGCAUGGUUGUCGUCAGCUCGUGCCGUGAGGUGUCGGGUUAAGUCCCAUAACGAGCGCAACCCCUAUUGUUAGUUACCAGCACGUAAUGGUGGGGACUCUAGCAAGACUGCCGGUGUAAACCGUGAGGAAGGUGGGGAUGACGUCAAAUCAGCACGGCCCUUAUGUCCAGGGCUACACACGUGUUACAAUGGCAAGUACAAAGAGCAGCCACCUGGCGACAGGGCGCUAAUCUCAAAAGCUUGCCUCAGUUCGGAUCGAAGUCUGCAACUCGACUUCGUGAAGGUGGAUUCGCUAGUAAUCGCGCAUCAGCCAUGGCGCGGUGAUACGUUCCCGGGCAUUGUACACACCGCCCGUCAAGCCAUGGAAGCACGGGGGUACACUGAAGUCCG